GACGAACGCUGGCGGCGUGCUUAACACAUGCAAGUCGAACGGUGAAGCGCCUUCCUUUUUGGUGGGUGGGGGUGAGUGGCGGACUGGUGAGUAACACGUGAGUAACCUGCCCCCUUCUUCUGGAUAACCGCAUGAAAGUGUGGCUAAUACGGGAUAUUCUGGGUCUGUCGCAUGAUGGGUCUUGGAUAGAUUUUGUUUCGGUGGGGGAUGGGCUCGCGUCCUAUCUGCUUGUUGGUGGGGUGAGGGCCUACCGAGGGGCUGAGGGGUGGCCGGCCUGGGAGGGUGGACGGCCAGAGAGGGUGGGCGGCCCGGCUGAGACUGCGACAGGGGGCAGAAGUGGAGAGUAGGGAACAGUGGGAGAAAGCGUGCAGCAGGGACGCGGCGGGAGGGAUGGAGGCCUGCGGGUUAUGACCUUCUUUCGGUAGUGAAGCACGCCUGGUUAGUAUGUGGCUGGGUUGACGGUACCUGGAGAAGAAGCGCCGGCUAACUACGUG
rnacentral:rRNA from 1 species